GAUCAUGGCUCAGAUUGAACGCUGGCGGCAUGCCUUACACAUGCAAGUCGAACGGCAGCGGACCUUCGGGUGCCGGCGAGUGGCGAACGGGUGAGUAAUGCAUCGGAACGUGCCAUUGAGUGGGGAUAACGUAGCGAAAGUUACGCUAAUACCGCAUAUUCUGUGAGCAGGAAAGCAGGGGACCGCAAGGCCUUGCGCUCUUUGAGCGGCCGAUGUCAGAUUAGCUAGUUGGUGAGGUAAAGGCUUACCAAGGCGACGAUCUGUAGCGGGUCUGAGAGGAUGAUCCGCCACACUGGAACUGAGACACGGUCCAGACUCCUACGGGAGGCAGCAGUGGGGAAUUUUGGACAAUGGGCGCAAGCCUGAUCCAGCCAUGCCGCGUGAGUGAAGAAGGCCUUCGGGUUGUAAAGCUCUUUCGGCCGGGAAGAAAUCGCAUGGGUUAAUACCCUGUGUGGAUGACGGUACCGGAAUAAGAAGCACCGGCUAACUACGUG
rnacentral:rRNA from 1 species